CUGCUUUCUCUCUCUCUCUCUCUCUCUCUCUCUCUCUCUCACUCUUGCUCUUUCUCUCUCACUCCAUCCUUUCCUUAGCUUCGCCGGACCGAGGCUGCAGCAGGACCUUAAAAAGCGAUGCAGAGAAUAGAGAGUCAGCAAUGGAGACAGCGAGCAAGCCAGGGAAAUGGUAAAGUUUUUGGCCAAUGUGGAUCUUCUCGACAACACAUGGCUGAAGUUUAGGAUCUGCCAUAUUAUACAGAUGUAAUCCUUUUCCUCUCCGGAGUGUGAGAUUCAUAAAGAUGUGCAGGGGGAUUGCCGAAGUUGAAGACAAACGACCAUAAGUGAGAACAAAAUCACCUGUUCACACGUGUUCUUUGUGUGUGGCCAUGAUUUCUAAGCUCCGACAUAUUCAGACCUCCAUAGUGACUCUGUUCGUACAAAAUGUCAAUUUCUGAAAGAAAAAAAAAAAAAAAAAAAAAGAUUUAGUCCUACAAGUGUCCAGAAAAGGGCCCCUUUGACAGCUAUUUCUGUUUGUCCCAGUUUUGUAUCUGGCUUUUCUACAUUUGGAUAGGACUGCCAACCUUCCUCUGAUUGGUUGCCUUCAUGUAGAAGACCAACUUGUGAGAGCACACUUUGUGUUGACAGUACUGGCUCGGGAGUGAAGAGGGAAAGUUCAACUGACCUGAUUUCAGGCCUCUUGGCAGAAAAACAUCUAGGACUGCUUAGACGAUUUUAAUUCAUACUUCAUAUUAACUGAGGCACGGUAGAGCCAAUAUUACAUCCAAAUACUAGAAAAGGUGAGUUUAUAUGUGAGUAAUAUGUGCCCUUUUUAAGACUUCUCUUAUUUAGCUUGAAGUUACAAAAGUAGGGCAGUCUUACAAAAAUAUAGUUUGCUACAACAAAAAUAGCAGAAUAACAAUUGACAGUUGGAGUAGUCUAAUUCACAACUUUACAUUUACAAUUCCAUUUAUAUUUGAACCCAUUGACGGCAAUUUACUUAUCACUGACUCCGACCAGGAUUAAUUCAUAUUUGGAUCAAACAGCAACGCUAGUGUGAGUUUUGGCAGCAUUUUGCAAUUUUUUUCGUUGUUUUGAUGUUUAAUCGCAGUUCACAGGAAGAUUCAGUAAGUGAGUGGACUUCAUGAAGUUCUGGUAAAGACAGACUACAAAAAGAGGAUCAGAUACUGUACAACAACAAUAACAAAACAACAAAAAACAAUUAAAUAUAGGCAACGUGGUCUUCUUUAGAGUAAUAGAAAAAUAAUAGAAUAAAAUCAAUAGCAGGGAUAUAGCUGUUAAACCGCUAUAUGUGGAACAUCAUGGUCGAAAACCUGAAAAAUAGAUUAGCUUACUUCGUUUGUAUGGAACGCUAAUGAGCAUGACUACUGUUUGAUUAAAUGAUUGUUUGAAGUCAAA